ACUCAAAUGAAUUGACGGGGGAGCGCACAACCGGUGGAGCAUGUUGUUUAAUUCGAUACAAAGCGAAAAACCUUACCCAGAUUUGACAUGUAACUGCACGGCUAUGGAAACAUAGCCUUCUUCGAGAGUGUUACACAGGUGAUGCAUGGCUGUCGUCAGCUCGUGUCGUGAGACGUCCGCUUAAGUGCGGUAACGAGCGCAACCCUUAUCUCGUGUUGUAUUUCACGAGAGACUGCUCUGGCUCUGCCAGGGAGGAAGGAGAGGACGACGUCAAGUCAGCACGUCCCUUACAUCUGGGGCCACAAACAUCCUACAAUGGAGCCGACAAUGGGUCGCGACGGCGUAAGCCUGAGCCAAUCCUGAAAACGGCCCCUCAGUUCAGAUUGAGGGCUGCAAUCCGCCCUCAUGAAGUCGGAAUCGGUAGUAAUCGCAAAUCAGCAGGUUGCGGUGAAUACGUUCUCGCUCCUUGUACACACCGCCCGU
rnacentral:rRNA from 1 species